CCUUAGUGAGCCUGCACAGGGCGGCAUGCGCGAGAGUGGGGGCGCCCUCCCACUCUGUGGACUUCCUGAUUCCACACCAGACGUGAUCGCCAAGCUGGAGCAGUGGGAAGACCCCUGGACUGUGGAGAGAGACGUCCCGAGAGGUCCAGGGAGCUCUGUGUGCUGAAACGUCGUGUCACCAAGUCCAGCUCUUUAAAAACCGUGUGUCGCUCCUCAGCUUCAGCAUGAAGACUUUGUUGAAAUCAGCUGCGACGGUGAUGCCGGUGUAAGGCGUCCACACUGUGUGAGCACUUUGCAAGUGUUGUCCCAUCUCAUCCUGUCAGCGGCCCUGGGAUGCAGGCACUUCUAUCCCCACUUAGAGCUGAGAUUCUGAGAGGUUAAACUACUUGCCCAAGGCCAGCUGGAAGCCAUUCACUGUUCAGGAUGGAAAUAUUAGAUGUAGCAGAUAAGGACAGCGUGGUGGAAGUCCAUCCGUCCCUUUCAGCGGACACCCAGACGUGUUCCCUGUGAGGAGGCGGUGCUGGAAUAUAAAGCCCCCUUGAGAAUUGGGAGACAACAGGAGGAUUGGGUCCCAUCUGAAGAAGCAGUCGAACCGUUUGACCCACUCGAGGCAAAGGCAGCGUGGGAACUGGGCAGCCCUUGCUCAAUCCAGUCGUCGUUGGUGAAAUGCCUGCUGGGAGCCACGAGCUUGUUCCCGUCACAGGCGGGGGCCUUUCACUUCCUGUACAACUUUGCUCAGGGCUUCCUUGUGGCCACCAAGGUAAGAACCAACCUCAAGCCCAGCCUCGAAGCCCCUGCACUUCCCCACCGUGGCCCACCUUUCCAGGCUCAUUUCUCGUCAUCCCCCAGGCAGCUUGCAGUGACCAAACCUACCUCCUUCCGGUUCCUUGGACAGCCCAGCUUGUUCUGGUUUCCUGUCCUCAGCAUCAGCUCCAGGGUGACUCCCUGAGCAAGUCAGAGGCCCGUGGCCUCCUCGGGCCCCCCCACCCUGGCAGCACAUCCCUUGUGUUGGUUUUGC